rnacentral:rRNA from 1 species
GAUCAUGGCUCAGGAUGAACGCUAGCUACAGGCUUAACACAUGCAAGUCGAGGGGCAGCAUGGUCUUAGCUUGCUAAGGCCGAUGGCGACCGGCGCACGGGUGAGUAACGCGUAUCCAACCUGCCUACCACUUGGGGAUAACCUUGCGAAAGUAAGACUAAUACCCAAUGACAUCCCACGAAGACAUCUGAAUGGGAUUAAAGAUUUAUCGGUGAUGGAUGGGGAUGCGU